AGCCAUGCGAGUCAUUGUAGCAAUACAAGGCAUACGGCUCAGUAACGCGUAGUCAACCUACCCUAUGGACGGAAAUAACCUCGGGAAACUGAGAAUAAUAUCCGAUAGAACAUUAUGCCUGGAAUGGUUUAUGUUCCAAAUGAUUUAUCGCCGUAGGAUGGGACUGCGGCCUAUCAGUUUGUUGGUGAGGUAAUGGCUCACCAAGACUAUUACAGGUACGGGCUCUGAGAGGAGUAGCCCGGAGAUGGGUACUGAGACACGGACCCAGGCCCUAUGGGGCGCAGCAGGCGAGAAAACUUUGCAAUGUGCGAAAGCACGACAAGGUUAAUCCGAGUGAUUUCUGCUAAAGAAAUCUUUUGUUAGUCCUAGAAACACUAACGAAUAAGGGGUGGGCAAGUUCUGGUGUCAGCCGCCGCGGUAAAACCAGCACCUCAAGUGGUCAGGAUGAUUAUUGGGCCUAAAGCAUCCGUAGCCGGCUCUGUAAGUCCUCGGUUAAAUCUGUACGCUUAACGUACAGGCUGCCGGGAAUACUGCAUAGCUAGGGAGUGGGAGAAGUAGACAGUACUCGGUAGGAAGGGGUAAAAUCCUUUGAUCUAUUGAUGACCACCUGUGGCGAAGGCGGUCUACCAGAACACGUCCGACGGUGAGGGGUGAAAGCUGGGGGAGCAAACCGGAUUAGAUACCCGGGUAGUCCCAGCUGUAAACUAUGCAAACUCAGUGAUGCAUUGGCUUGUGGCCAAUGCAGUGCUGCAGGGAGGCCGUUAAGUUUGCCGCCUGGGAAGUACGUACGCAAGUAUGAAACUUAAAGGAAUUGGCGGGGGAGCACCACAAGGGGUGAAGCCUGCGGUUCAAUUGGAUUCAACGCCGGGAA
rnacentral:rRNA from 1 species